AAGUCGUAACAAGGUUUCCGUAGGUGAACCUGCGGAAGGAUCAUUAACACGUGAUACUCACGUAUUAACAACCCACCGAGAACUGUUAAAAACCCUAAUGAUGAAUGCAAACAGACGAAAUGGGGGAAUGCUAUUGGCCGCCUUAACUGUACGCCAUAACCCAUCAGUCGCACCUAUGUCCGCCCUGGGUGUUUGUACCAUCAAUUAGUUGAAAUUAUCGGCCUGCGGUAAAGGACUGUAGCCUAUCCUUACGCCUCCGCCGACCAUUAUUAACCCCUUUUUCUAUUAUUUACUGAUUUGUAUGUUUAUAUGAAUUCCUGGCUUCGGUCGGUUGAGUUUAUGUAGAUGUCGUAUAUUACUAAUACGAAACAACUCUUAGCAACGGAUAUCUUGGUUCUC
rnacentral:misc_RNA from 1 species